UUUUUUUUCCUCCCCUCCUCCCUAUGAAGUUAUUUUUUUUGCAUUUCCCCGGAGGCAGUUUUAAAUCAAAUGUCCGUGUAAGGGAGGGCUCCAUCCAGCCCGACUCGUACACCCAGCGGACACCCCGCCGCUCCGGCCGAGCGCCCGACCCCGGUCUGGGCAGUGCGGGGGUGCCCGAGGAGCCCCCGCGGGCUGGGAGCGGCUGGCGGAGCUCAGCCUCGGUACAUACCCCGGGGGGAAAAGCCACCAACAAAAAAACCCCGACAACAGAAAACACACCAAACCCCGCAGGGCUGGAGAAGGAGGGUUUGCCCGUGUUUAAGGAGCUGAGGCGGGGUUGGGCGACACGAAGUAUCGGGGCCAGCGCUUGGCACCGGCGGGUCCUGCGGGGCUCUCCCGGAGCGCCUUAUAUGGCGGGGGCGGGGGGCCCGGCCCGGCUGCCGGCCGAGCCCAGCCCGGGCAGCGGGUGCGGGGCCGCCGCGGGGCGCGCGCCUCGUGUCCUUCUAGGGGACACACGGAGCGGACGAGACGGGGAUCUCCGAGGAGACCCCAUCCGCCAGAAGGGAGGACCAUAGCAACCUUCCCGGCCACGAAAGGUGACGCGGCUGUGAAGUGACCCGUUUGUCACUCUGGGGGAACAGGCGACCCUCCUGAAACAGAAGAAAAAACAAAACCCAUCUCAUUCCCCCCCACGCCAUCCCCCCGCCUCCGGGGAUCCUAAGCAAGGACAAGCUGAUUAAUUCUCCCGGGUCGCCCCGGCAAUCCCCGGGGGCCGCUCCGCUUUGCCGCCGUCCUGCAAACCCUCCGCCUGAGGGGGCUCAUCUGCAGCCCGAGGCCAGCAGGAGGAGGAGGAGGAGGAGGAAGAAGAAGGGUAGCUCGCCGGCGGCGUUAGUUAUAAGCACCGCCGUGACAGUUCUCCUGUCUGAGGCUGCAGGAAUAGAGCCAACGGCGAGAUCACCGGGCGCUGGCUUUUCUUGGGGCGUUUGCAGAAAUGUACAAAUACGGGGCCUGCCGGGUUUCAUAAACAACUUUCAGGACACAGUCAAUCAAUCAUGCUGGCAAGAAAGCAGACCAGGAGCCUAGGAUAUAUACAAGGCAUAAAUAUAUAUGUAUAAACCCUGUCAAUUUUGGAGUAGUUACAAAUUUUUUUUCUAUAUGCCUAAGGGAGACCGCACCUAGAAAGAUUCUGACAAGUCAGGAAAUCACAGUGGAAAAGUAGAAGGUAUUGUUAGAAAGUUAUGGUACAUUGUAUGUUUUAAUAUCAGCAAGAGAAAUACUGGAAAACAGAAAGAAAAAAGUGUCUAAGCAAGUCAAAGAUUUAUAAAAAACAUAAAAUAUUAUGCUUACAGUCAGAGAGACAAUUUCAAGAAUAUGUGGCUGAAAGCAUGAAACCUGACCACUUUAAAAUACAAUGCAAUAGAUAUAUCUGUAAAAGACAUGAGUUUACCAGAUUUUCUAGCCAGCAAAGUAUUCUUUAUGUUGCAGUCAUUUCUAGUCUUAAUUUGAAACAUAUUUUGUAUCUAGGGAUAGGUCCUUGCAAAUGCACUCUGCUGUUUUGUUCUGUUUGUUUUUUUUUUUUUAAUGAUCUUUUGAUAAUAAGAGCUCUGCACAGCACGGAGUUUGUGCUCUCUCUUUCUGACACUGAGUCUUUUUCUUGCAAAAGGACAUGUGUGAACAAGGAACCCAUAAAAUGAACGGUGCAACAGUUUUGAACAUCCCAGUAAUGCAGAAAGAAUAGUUGCACAUCAACGUAGGAGAAAGAUAAUCAAGUUUCUGGACUUACAAGAGAAGGACAUAAUCUGUGCUGGUAUAAAUUAGGAGUUCCACUGAAAUAGAGGACUGGUUGGUACUGCAGAAAUUGAGAGCUGUUCUCAUGCUGCUAUGAUCCAAAAUAGUGGCUCCUUCUUCUGCAUAGUGAGCAUUGAGGAAAGCCUGGGCAAUGAUGCUCAGAGAGCAGAAGCUGCGCUCUAGGAAAAAGCAUCCAGAGGAGCUUUUCCCAGCUGGUAAAACCUGCCGAACAAACUUGUAAAAUUGAGGACCAGAGUAUUGAUUUUGCUUAGGAAAGACAUUGUGGACUGCAUUGCCUCUAUGGCACUAUUGUCAGGGACAAUUUUUUUUUUUUUUUGAAAUUACUGCAUUUGUUGUGUAAGUUUUUGCAUCAAGAAUAAACCUGGUAUUUGGUCAUUUCACUCUGUGGUUGUUAUCUGUCAAAACAAAUCCUAUAAGGAGCCGAAGCCAAAACCUACUCAGGUCAGGAGAGUGGUUUUUGGUGAUGACCUUCCAAGCUGACUGGACUUUGGAGAUAUAAAUAGUUGCAAAAUUGUGUCACUGCCUUCUCAGAAACUUAGUGUGUUUAAAGAUGUGUAUGGUCAGAAGAAUAGGGAUUGGGUUUACAUCUAAGACCUUCCCCUUUUAAGGACUUGUGUUUAAAAUGGAUGGAUCAUGUCCUUGUUUAAAGGCAGUUUCAUUUUUAUAUAAUAAUUUAUGCUUAUCACCAUAUAAGAGAAUGCUUCAUCAAUUACAGCUUUAUUCUUGUGGAUACAAUGUAUUGUUUUUCAUAGCAAUAUAUUAUGGAGGCUUUUCUCUGAAUAGUGCCUUGAUUUGUGUUGUGUAAGACUGACAUUAUGAGUGAUAACUGUGUAUUAACUGACAAUCUCCAGUCAAAAUACCAUAUAAAAUAUAAAAAUUAAAGUAGUAUCUGAAGAUUCUGUAAAUACUUAAUAAUUUUAUUGUUAUUUUAAUGUUGCGGAAAAACUGUGAAAGCUCAAACACUUUUUAUACCCUCAAAGAUUCAGUUUGUUUUGCUGGGGCUUUUUUUGUAU